GAUGAACGCUAGCUACAGGCUUAACACAUGCAAGUCGAGGGGUAACAAGAGAAAAGCUUGCUUUUCUUGUUGACGACCGGCGCACGGGUGAGUAACGCGUAUCCAACCUGCCUAUAACUAGGGAAUAACCUUGCGAAAGUAAGACUAAUACCCUAUGAUUUCCUUUGAUGACAUCAGAUUAGGAAUAAAGAUUUAUCGGUUAUAGAUGGGGAUGCGUCUGAUUAGCUUGUUGGCGGGGUAACGGCACACCAAGGCAAGGAUCAGUAGGGGUUCUGGGGGGAAGGUCCCCCACAUUGGACCUAAUACACCGUACAAACGCCUACGGGAGGCAGCAGUGAGGAAUAUUGGUCAAUAGGCGGAAGCCUGAACCAGCCAAGUAGCGUGCAGGAUGACGGCCCUAUGGGUUGUAAACUGCUUUUAUACAGGAAUAAAGUUAGCCACGUGUGGUUAUUUGUAGGUACUGUAUGAAUAAGGACCGGCUAAUUCCGUGCCAGCCGCCGCAGUAA
rnacentral:rRNA from 1 species